GGGGGGGUGACGGCGAUGGUCUGAUAGGCAUGCACUUGUGUGUUUGUAUGCCUGUGUUUGUGUGUCUGUGUUUGUGUAUUUGGGUGUUUGUGUUUGCAUGUCUGUGUUUGUGUUUCUGUGUGUUUGUUUGUUUGUCUGGUUGCAUGUCUGUGUUUGUGUGUGUUUGUGUCUGUGUUCGGGUGUUUGUAUGCCUGUGAUUGUGUUUCUGUGUGUUUGUAUGUCUGUGUUUGUGUAUUUGGGUGUUUGUGUUUGUAUGUCUGUGUUUGUGUGUUUGUGUUUCUGUGUGUUUGUUUGUUUGUAUGUCUGUGUUUGUGUUUCUGUGUGUUUGUAUGUCUGUGUUUGUGUAUUUGGGUGUUUGUGUUUGUAUUUGUUUGUGUGUUUGUGUGUUUGUUUGUUUGUUUGUUUGUUUGUUUGUAUGUCUGUGUUUGUGUUUCUGUGUGUUUGUAUGUCUGUGUUCGGGUGUUUGUGUUUGUAUGCCUGUGUUUGUGUUUCUGUGUGUUUCUGUGUGUUUGUUUGUUUGUGUGUUUGUAUGUCUGUGUUUGUGUUUCUGUGUGUUUGUAUGUCUGUGUUUGUGUGUUGGUUUCAUGCGUGUUUUUCGUCUUCCACAAACGUCACACACCUUCCACAGCGGCUGCGGAGAGACAGAACGUGAGCCCAGAUGGAGCUCCGCAGAGACAGCGCUUUGCUCGCCUCCUUCUCCGCCAAGCAGUCCUACGACCGAACAACAAACACACAAACAAACAAACACACAAAACAACAACGCAGGCCCGGGGCGAAGCAGACCGACCUGGCCGAUCUCCAUGACGCAGGAGGCGGGGAAGUAGCCCCGCCGGCCGUCCUGCAGCCGCCCGAACCAGCGUUCCUCCUCGUGCUUGGACAUCACCAGGAUGACGUCACCCCGGGCCAGCGCCACCUCGUCGGGCCAGUUGGGCUUGUAGUUGUGCGUCGCCACCAUCUAGUGGACACGGUGGGAAUUACAAGUCUGCGUAUGCAGAUUUUUUGCACAAACAUUUUGGCUGCUUUAUCUUUUAAAAUUGCGCGUGGAUUUUGUUAUUGUCCUACUUAUCACACCACUUAGUGUUACUAAAAUCGAACGCAUGCCGCCUUCAUCAGCAUUGGACUGAGUGAUUGAAUCAAGAGGAUUAUGUUUUUAGAGAUUAUCUAUAGUUGACAAUUAAAUAUGGGUCUGAUCUAAAUGAACAGUUGCUCCUCAAUGUAAUUAUUGUUAUCAUUAGAAUAAGGAAAAAAUAUGUAUUGCUAAAUAGUAUGCUACUAGAAAUAGUUUCAUAAACAUUGAUUACACCAGCUGGAUUAGUAACAUAGUAAUCCAGGCAGCUACUAAGUAAGGUAAAUAAUUAAACUAUUUCCAUUUCCACUUGCUUUUUAAUUAUCGGUAGAAUCAUUUCCUCCAAACUCAAACUACCCCAAUCCCUUAAUGCAUCCAUUAACAGCCUUGUUUAGUUAGCAGUUGAUGCCAAAUGCCCCCAAAAAAGAUGCAAACUCACCUUUUCUGCCAGUCCUCUGAACUGGUACCUCACUGAUGCCCAAGAGAGGG
ensembl:lncRNA